UUUGCCAUGUGAAGAAGGUGCUUGCUUCUCCUUCACCUUCCACCAUGAUUGUAAGUUUCCCGAGGCCUCCCCAGCCAUGUCUCUUGUACAGCCUGUGGAACUGUGUUCUGAUAUGAGAAGAACUUCUUCAGAAGGUAUCUUAAUGCAUAUGGGGAAACUGAGGCCCAGGAGGCAACUAUUGCAUCCAGAAAAAAAAAAAAUGAAGAUGAUGACUUCUCUGCAACUAAGAUGAAGAUGCACUGAACUCUGGGGUUUGAAAUGCAACGUUAGAACUUCAGACUCCCGGCACCUAGGUCUCCAGCUGCUGGGUGGUGCCAGCAUCAGAGAUACACUCUGCAAAACAUAUACUGUCUUAGGAAAAAGUGACCCUGUUGUCCUUUCAGGCCCAUAUUCCACAAGAAGACAAAUUGAGAUGUAAAAGGAAAACUGCAGCUCCGAGUGAAGAGAGAGCAAGUUGUCUUUUCUGAUACAGCCAGGAAAUAAGAUGUUCUGGUUAAUAUGUGCUAAAGAUGUGGUGCUGACUUUCCGACUCAGAAUAUGAUCACAUGUUUUUCUCAUUAAAACUAUAUUGAAUGUUA